GACGAACGCUGGCGGCGUGCUUAACACAUGCAAGUCGAACGGAAAGGCCCUGCUUUUGUGGGGUGCUCGAGUGGCGAACGGGUGAGUAACACGUGAGUAACCUGCCCUUGACUUUGGGAUAACUUCAGGAAACUGGGGCUAAUACCGGAUAGGAGCUCCUGCUGCAUGGUGGGGGUUGGAAAGUUUCGGCGGUUGGGGAUGGACUCGCGGCUUAUCAGCUUGUUGGUGGGGUAGUGGCUUACCAAGGCUUUGACGGGUAGCCGGCCUGAGAGGGUGACCGGCCACAUUGGGACUGAGAUACGGCCCAGACUCCUACGGGAGGCAGCAGUGGGGAAUAUUGCACAAUGGGCGGAAGCCUGAUGCAGCAACGCCGCGUGCGGGAUGACGGCCUUCGGGUUGUAAACCGCUUUCGCCUGUGACGAAGCGUGAGUGACGGUAAUGGGUAAAGAAGCACCGGCUAACUACGUGCCAGCAGCCGCGGUGAUACGUAGGGUGCGAGCGUUGUCCGGAUUUAUUGGGCGUAAAGGGCUCGUAGGUGGUUGAUCGCGUCGGAAGUGUAAUCUUGGGGCUUAACCCUGAGCGUGCUUUCGAUACGGGUUGACUUGAGGAAGGUAGGGGAGAAUGGAAUUCCUGGUGGAGCGGUGGAAUGCGCAGAUAUCAGGAGGAACACCAGUGGCGAAGGCGGUUCUCUGGGCCUUUCCUGACGCUGAGGAGCGAAAGCGUGGGGAGCGAACAGGCCUAGAUACCCUGGUAGUCCACGCUGUAAACGGUGGGUACUAGGUGUGGGGUCCAUUCCACGGGUUCCGUGCCGUAGCUAACGCUUUAAGUACCCCGCCUGGGGAGUACGGCCGCAAGGCUAAAACUCAAAGGAAUUGACGGGGCCCCGCACAAGCGGCGGAGCAUGCGGAUUAAUUCGAUGCAACGCGUAGAACCUUACCUGGGUUUGACAUGGAUCGGGAGUGCUCAGAGAUGGGUGUGCCUCUUUUGGGGUCGGUUCACAGGUGGUGCAUGGCUGUCGUCAGCUCGUGUCGUGGGAUGUUGGGUUAAGUCCCGCAACGAGCGCAACCCUUGUUCACUGUUGCCAGCACGUUAUGGUGGGGACUCAGUGGAGACCGCCGGGGUCAACCCGGAGGAAGGUGGGGAUGACGUCAAGUCAUCAUGCCCCUUAUGUCCAGGGCUUCACGCAUGCUACAAUGGCUGGUACAGAGAGUGGCGAGCCUGUGAGGGUGAGCGAAUCUCGGAAAGCCGGUCUCAGUUCGGAUUGGGGUCUGCAACUCGACCUCAUGAAGUCGGAGUCGCUAGUAAUCGCAGAUCAGCAACGCUGCGGUGAAUACGUUCCCGGGGCU
rnacentral:rRNA from 1 species